UCAAACUUUUAGAUGAUGUUUUUGUUUUGUUUCUUUAAUGGGGUUUCAAGCAGCUGUCGCAAGUCCAACACUUGAGUUUCAGAGAUUAUG